GCGCGAAAGCGUGACGGAGCGACGCCGCGUGUAGGACGAAGCCCCUCGGGGUGUAAACUACUGUCAGGGUUGACCAAGUAACCAAGUCGAAUAGGCUUGGAAGCUGAGGUAGUCCAGAGGAAGCCACGGCUAACUCUGUGCCAGCAGCCGCGGUAAGACAGAGGUGGUAAGCGUUGUUCGGAAUCACUGGGCUUAAAGGGUGUGUAGGCGGUUAGGUAAGCAUUCUGUGAAAGCCCUGGGCUCAACCCAGGAACCGCAGGAUGUACUGCCCGACUUGAGGCGAGUAGAGGUCACUGGAACUCUGGGUGGAGCGGUGAAAUGCGUAGAUAUCCAGGGGAACGCCAAUGGCGAAGGCAGGUGACUGGGCUCGUCCUGACGCUGAGGCACGAAAGCGUGGGAAGUGAACGGGAUUAGAUACCCCGGUAAUCCACGCCCUAAACGAUGUACACUGGCUUCAGGGACUACUGACAGUUUCUGAAGCGUAGGAAAACCGUUAAGUGUACCGCCUGGGAAGUACGGUCGCAAGAUUAAAACUCAAAGGAAUUGACGGGGGCUCACACAAGCGGUGGAGCAUGUGGCUUAAUUCGAAGCAACGCGAAGAACCUUACCUGGGUUUGACAUGUACGGAUGGCGUUCUGGAAACAGGAUUGUCUGCCCUUGUGGUGAAACGUACACAGGUGCUGCAUGGUUGUCGUCAGCUCGUGCCGUGAGGUGUUGGGUUAAGCCCCGUAACGAGCGAAACCCCUGCUGUUAGUUGCCAGCGAGUAAUGUCGGGCACUCUAACAGGACUGCCGGCGUUAAGCCGGAGGAAGGCGGGGAUGACGUCAAAUCAUCAUGGCCUUUAUGCCCAGGGAUGCACACGUGCUACAAUGCCUGGUACAAACCGAUGCAAACUCGCAAGAGCCAGCAAAUCGUAAAAAACCAGGCCCGGUUCAGAUUGCGGUCUGCAACUCGACCGCAUGAAGUUGGAAUCGCUAGUAAUCGCGUAUCAGCUACGACGCGGUGAAUGUGUUCCUGAGCCUUGUACACACCGCCCGUCAAGCCAUGGGAGUUGGGACCGCCCGAAGUCCGAUUAGCUAACCGCAAGGGAGCGUCGGCCGACGGCGAGCUCGAUGACUGGGGCU
rnacentral:rRNA from 1 species